GUUGGUGAGAAACAGGGCAUCGGUCAACGUAGCUGACCUGUGGAAUUUCGCCUCUCUGAGGCUGCAGCCAAGGGAAAAUAGCUAAGAGAUCUGCUGAUGCUCAAGAACUGUAAUGGUAACAUGUCUUUGGACAUGGUGAAGGAGGGAGACACGGGCAUCCAGGACAAGCUGGAAGGAGAUGCUGCUCUCCUUGAGCACGGGGCGGACGACAACGCUCAGGUCAAAGGAGGCUCAUCUCCCUGCGCAACACAGCCUGAUAUGGGCACAUGCACAUUGCGGCCCUCCUGAUCAAGUACAAUGUCCGUUUGAACACCACAGACAAGUAGUUAGCCUUCAACCUGCUCCGCAUGGCAGUGCAGAAUGUAAACAUAGUGAAUGUAUACAUGUUAUCUCUAUUUGAACAAGUCUUCGACUUGCAAUGACAUAGUCUGGUCACAAUAUUUCCAAUCCAAUAUAAUUUGACACACAUGGCUAGAGAAAACCCUUAUCACCCAGUACCUCUCCAUCUGAUCAUGUCCUCCUCCUUCCUCAUACUGGGGCGGCAGGGUAGCCUAGUGGUUAGAGCGUUGGACUAGUAACUGGAAGGUUGUGAGUUCAAACCCCCGA